AUCCAGCUGACGAGUCCCAAGUAGGACGAAACGCGCGUCCUGGAU
rfam:Schistosoma mansoni, Puerto Rico, WGS project CABG01000000 data, contig: 0122